GAUCAUUAUUAUCAAUAUUUGAAUGUGUACUACUUAAUAACGUGGU
rnacentral:antisense_RNA from 1 species